GCCCUCUCUGGGUGGCACCUGGAGAGUUUCUAGUACUCUACCAGUCUCGGCCUCAGGAGGGAGAGUCAAGCAGGGGCCUACCCAUUCCACUCCUAGGUUGGCCGGUGGCUAGCGAGUGGAACACAAUCUGCUACAAGU